AUAUAUUUUAAAUCAAUAAAUAAUCAAAUGAAAAACAUAAUACUAAAUAAAUAUAUACAUACCAUAUUAUCACAUCCAAAACAUAAAAACGAAUUUUUCUUUCAAGUAUAUUUUCACUUACCAAAAGUCUUUAAUAGUUUUUAAUUAAUGUAGAAAUGUAAAAAAAUAUAAAAAAAUAUAUAAACUCUCGUAAUGACAAACUUUACAACUUGCAUGAAGAGCUUAACUUCGAAAUUCGCCAUUAUAAUCUUAUAAAUCAUAUAUCAAAAUUUAACCGUUGAUUGUUGUUUACAUUUAUGUUUCAUUGUUCUCAUCAAAUUUUGUUUUUUCAGAUUUUCUUUUUUGAAAACUUGAUCUAUUAGAGGAUACAGGAAGAUGAACGGUGUGGAUCAUUGUUAUUAUAUUUAGAGUUUUACAGUUAGUGAAAAUAUUGCUUGAUGUUUAUAAAGUUUCUACAAACUAUAUGAUAUCGACUCAUAUUUCAGUUGACUGUUGUGGAUGCAAAUUUCUUCCUCCUCGAUCUUGGACGAUUUUGCACCUACAAAACAAUUAACACCUUAGGUUAAGGCCAAGAGCCUCACGCGCCCACGAUGAAUGGGGAGGG
rnacentral:lncRNA from 1 species